rnacentral:rRNA from 1 species
GACAGAGGGUGCAAACGUUGUUCGGAAUUACUGGGCGUAAAGCGCGUGUAGGCGGCCCUGCAAGUCGGGUGUGAAAUCCCACGGCUCAACCCGUGGAAGUGCACUCGAAAACUGCAAGGCUAGAGUCCUGGAGAGGAAGGUGGAAUGCUUGGUGUAGAGGUGAAAUUCGUAGAUAUCAAGCGGAACACCGGUGGCGAAGGCG